CUCUCUCUCUCUCUCUCUCUCUCUCUCUCUCUCUCUCUCUCUCUCUCUCUCUCUCUCUCUUCCGUUUUGCCUCAAACCCUAACACUACUCCUCCAUUUUUUCAAUCUCUCGAUCUGUUUUCUGCCGUCUCCCUUUACCCUCCAACCUUAACAUUCCACAACCACCUUGCUCCAUCAUCUUCUUCCAAGAAACAUUCCAUACAAACCCUACGUUUUCUCUCUCUCUCUUGCAGAAACCUUUCCUUUCUCUUAGAAGAAGAUGAAGAAUCAUGUGAAGAUGUUGUCGAUAAAGGUUGUUUUAAAGAAGAAGCACAUGAAGUUCAAACUUCAUGACCUUCAGAUUCUGAAUCUGAAUCUAAUUCUUCAACUCUUUCGAUGUACUUGAAGAAAAAAUGCUUAAAGGAUGGAAAUUGCAGGUUCAAAAAGUGAUGGGAUUAGAGGAAGAGUUUGGGCUCAAAUAUUGAGGAUGAUAACUCUGAAAAACAUCACAACCAUUCAAGAAGUAGCUGAAUUGAUAGAGAAGUUGAUUUGAUGUAGAGGGAAUUCCCAUGGCUUCUCUUUGCGAUUUCAGCAAGGGAUGAUUUGUUGGAGUUCUCAGCGUUUUAGAUUUUAUGUUCAUUUUAAGAGAGUUUGUGUGGAACAACUGUAACAUCAUAAACACCGUCACGGGUUGAUGAAGAAGCACAUUAAUUUUGUUAUCUGCGAUGCAUACACACAAGUGUUUGGAGAACUUCACAUUUGAAAUAAACUCACAUUGUAUACAAUGCAUACUUGAAGCAAGGGAUAUGGAAAAUGCUCACCAAGUGGGAUGGAGAACAUGACAUUUAAGAUUACAUGAAAAAGCUCAUUUUAGUGUUGACAAAUUAUUAACUAUUGAUGUUCAAUGUUUUUUUGGAAAUUCAGUUCAUUAGCUGCAGUUCCAUAUAUGCACUGCUUCUUUUACGCAAUGUGUAGUAGUCCUAUUUAGAAAUAUUUAUAAACAUCGUGAAAUCACAACUUUAA